rnacentral:rRNA from 1 species
UACCUACGGGAGGCUGCAGUGGGGAAUUUUGGACAAUGGGCGCAAGCCUGAUCCAGCAAUGCCGCGUGCAGGAAGAAGGCCUUCGGGUUGUAAACUGCUUUUGUACGGAACGAAAAGGCUCUGGUUAAUACCUGGGGCUCAUGACGGUACCGUAAGAAUAAGCACCGGCUAACUACGUGCCAGCAGCCGCGGUAAUACGUAGGGUGCAAGCGUUAAUCGGAAUUACUGGGCGUAAAGCGUGCGCAGGCGGGUUUGUAAGACAGGCGUGAAAUCCCCGGGCUCAACCUGGGAAUUGCGCGUGUGACUGCAAGGCUGGAGUGCGGCAGAGGGGGAUGGAAUUCCGCGUGUAGCAGUGAAAUGCGUAGAUAUGCGGAGGAACACCGAUGGCGAAGGCAAUCCCCUGGGCCUGCACUGACGCUCAUGCACGAAAGCGUGGGGAGCAAACAGGAUUAGAUACCCCAGUAGUCG